AAAGACACAGGCCAGGUCAUCUUCUCCCCCAGCACCUCACUGUCUUCCCUUGCAGCUGGAAGUAGCUCACGUCCUUUCCCUCCUGCACAGUGCCGAAAGGCUGCUGCUGGCCACAUUCUGCUGCGAACCCUAGCAGAAAUCUGGGGAGGGGGAGCAUGUGACCUUGCAUACUCCCCACCCCCCACAUGUUGCCUCAGGAAGAUGCAGCACCAGCGAACCACACAUGAAUCUGAUAGCCAAAAGCAUUCUUAUGACUAACCUUUACUCUCUGGGGGCUGCAAAAUGGAAUUAUAAAACAAUCUGAGGAGACUGUGGGAGGAAACACCUUUUUUGGCACAGGAUCCCCAACAUUAAAAAGAAUACUGAGAGUGGAAAACAUUAGGAAAUGGGGAACUGUGUGGCUGAGUUGACUUUAACCUACAGUGAUCCAAACAGAGCCUCUGUCUAAAAUGAA